GUCAGCUUCUAUUGUAGCUUCAACCUGUCAGCUUCUAUUGUAGCUUCAACCUGUCAGCUUCUAUUGUAGCUUCAACCUGUCAGCUUCUAUUGUAGCUUCAACCUGUCAGCUUCUAUUGUAGCUUCAACCUGUCAGCUUCUGUUGUAGCUUCAACCUGUCAGCUUCUAUUGUAGCUUCAACCUGUCAGCUUCUAUUGUAGCUUCAUGUCAAUGUGCCAGUUUUUUAUUUGACUUUGUGAAGUGUUUAUUUUGACUCUACUUGUUUAGUUUUCACCUUGAUUAUAUACAGAGGGGUCCGAAGUUAUUGACAUCCUUGCUGAAGAUUAGCAAUAAUGACUAUAUUAAAUUAAUAAAUUGUAAAUGAUAAUAUUUUAAACUAAUGCAAUUGCUCAGAGAUAUGUUUUUGUAAUGCAUUUUUGUUGUAAAAGGUUAGGGGUCAAAAUGAUUGACAGCCCAAAUCUACAGUGUGAUGAUGUCAUUACUAUGAAUAUAGAACCAGAUACUGACCUUCUGACUAGUUUAUUAAUCUUUAGGGGGUCAAUCAUUUAGAAAAUAAAUACUACUUGUUAAACUAAAUAUUUGAAUCAGAUCAAUCGUAUUAGUAUAAAAUAAUAUAAUUUACACAUGUUGAGCAGAUAGAGCUCAGUAUUUAAAUUAUUUAUUUAUACAGUCAUUAUUAUCUUUAUCAGGGGUGUCUAUAAUUCCAGACCCACUGUAUAUUAUAUAUUGAUGUAUUUAUACAGUCAUUAUUAUCUUUAUCAGGGGUGUCUAUAAUUCCAGACCCCACUGUAUAUUAUAUAUUGAUGUAUUUAUACAGUCAUUAUUAUCUUUAUCAAGGGUGUCUAUAAUUCCAGACCUCACUGUAUAUUAUAUAUUGAUGUAUUUAAUACAGUCAUUAUUAUCUUUAUCAGGGGUGUCUAUAAUUCCAGACCCCACUGCAUAUUAUAUAUUGAUCAUGUAUAUACAGUUGAAUGGUAUUUUCCAUGUAUUGAUUAUUUCUUGUUUUACUAAACUAGGACAUCAUUGUGUCAGAA